rnacentral:misc_RNA from 1 species
GUUCAAACUGACCCAAGUCAAAAAAGCGUCCGAAGUAGGUAGACCUUUGAAAAGGAUCAAAUCCAGCAAAUCUGUACAUGACUUCAACUCCAUAAUCGUGAUGAGGUUGGUCAUUGUACUUCAAAGCAUCAAGCUGGUUUUGAACUGCUUCUUCUGCACUAAAACAUAAUCUUGGACCAAAUGGCUUUUUCCUACGAGAUUCAAGCCAAUUAGCAGAGAGAAAGUCAGGUACAUCGGCAGAAGCAGAGAUACAUGGGCUGUAAGGCUUAGAAGAUCGGAAAGAUUUGGGGAAGAUAGACAGAGACUGUGGAGAUGAUGACACAGAGGAGCAAAAGGACAUCGUGUGUAUGCU